GACGAACGCUGGCGGCGUGCUUAACACAUGCAAGUCGUACGGUAAGGCCCUUUCGGGGGUACACGAGUGGCGAACGGGUGAGUAACACGUGAGUAACCUGCCCACAACUUUGGGAUAACGCUAGGAAACUGGUGCUAAUACUGGAUAUGUGCUCCUGCUGCAUGGUGGGGGUUGGAAAGCUCCGGCGGUUGUGGAUGGACUCGCGGCCUAUCAGCUUGUUGGUGGGGUAGUGGCCUACCAAGGCGGCGACGGGUAGCCGGCCUGAGAGGGUGACCGGCCACAUUGGGUCUGAGAGAAGGCCCAGACUCCGACGGGAGGAAGCAGGGGGGAAGAUUGCACAAUGGGCGCAGGCCUGAUGCAGCAGCGCCGCGUGCGGGAUGACGGCCUUCGGGUUGUAAACCGCUUUCAGCAGGGACGAAGCUUUUUGUGACGGUACCUGCAGAAGAAGCACCGGCUAACUACGUG
rnacentral:rRNA from 1 species